rnacentral:lncRNA from 1 species
GAACAUUUCACGUCGUGCGGUAGUGCUUGUCCAACUACAUGUUCAAAUCUGGGGCAGAAUAAUAAUUGUAUAGCGCAAUGCGUUUUCGGCUGCUUUUGUGACGAAGGUUAUGCAAGAAAUGAUGUUGGAAAAUGCAUACCUGUUGGUGACUGCCCGUCCCAGUAGGUAUUAAAAGCCUGAUUCAGGGUAGUUGUGCUUCCACGGUGCCAAAUGCGAUAGCAUGAGUCAUGAUUGUUUGUUUGUCUUCAGAUGUUUACUUUUUGCAUUUAUGUAUGUUUAUCAUUUGCAUUUAUGUUACUAAGUCUAAUUUAGAAGGUUUGUUGAUGAAAAAAUCUUCAUAAUCCGUAAUUUGAAGACCUAAAAAAUUUACAAUAAAUUAUUGGAAGUACCUAC